AAUUUCUUUAUCUGCAGAUGUCAACAGUGCCUCAUCCUCUUUAUUUCCACCAGAAUUUAUAUGGUGGGCCAGGGCUUGGUGAGCGGUGGUAAUUUCCUGUGCAGUAUAUACUGCCCUACUUGUGAGGAGCAUAUUGCUGUUCAAGGGUCAACAUGCAAACACAUGGGGGCAUUACUGAAACCAAUGGAUGUUACCUGGAGAAGCCAGCCUGAAAAUAUCUGGUGCAGUGGCGUUAUGAGGAGUCUUUCAUGGAGCAUGGACUACUCAUCAUCUGUGAAGCCCAGGGCAAGUUUCUUUCUAGAGUGGAGAUCUUUGAACUGAGGCCUGCAUUGUGAGACAAAACUAGUCAUAUGACAUUCACUGGAAAAAGGGACGUGCCAGCCAGAGCGAACUGCAGAUCCAAAUGUCCUGUAUCGGGAACAAACUUGGCAAGUUCAAGGAACAGAAAGAAGGCGGCGUUUGAGAGUUACGAUUGAGAGGAGAAUGGCAUCGAGUGCAUUUGGAGACCACCUCACAUAGGAUCUCGGGAUAAUGGUACUGAUCCUAUAUUGAUGAGGUUUUCAAUAAAAGAAUAAUGCGUAGUCCACAGCGGGAUUUAUAUCAAGAUAACAAAAUGCUGGGAAGUAGCCCUUGUCACAAAGAGAAGAAGGAAAUUUACACCAGCAAAGACAUUGCUGCACAGAGAGGAUGGUUGGUGGAUUUGCAUGUUAGACCCUGCAAGCUGUUUGUCUUGGAAAUUCCCAGGCCAUGGAAUAGAGGGAACCAGAGACCAGAGAGAAACAACAACAUCAAUGCUAUGCAGAGAUCUGAGGAGGUGGAAAUCAAAAUCAGAGAGUCCUUCUAGCAGUCGAUAGGAGCCGAAACCAUGAGACCAGCCCUUAAGAAAGAAUGAGGUCCUUCAAGAACUGUAGAAGCAAAGGAACCCCAGAUUUAGAGAAAGGGUCAACCACGGUUCAAGAUUCAGGCCAGAAGUAAUCAAGUGAGCUGACCUGGAGAGCAGGUAAACAAAGCCAGAGGCAGCUCGGGCCUUCACCUUUGUGCCUGGGAAGAGCAGGAGCGUAUAUGGAGACCUAUACAGCACAUGUCUAAUGAUUUCACAUUGAUAUAAAUCAUACCAGCACACCGAGAAAUAAAAUAUGCUCUAUCAUUGUGUUCAAAACUACCUUCUUAGUAACAAAAUUAAAUAAUGUCUAUUAAGCUAUAGUUUUUUAUGACUGAAAAUGGGUAAAAUAUACAAGGAUGUCUGGAUUAUCACCUAGGCCUGGAUCUUGAAAUAAGCUGUCGAUUGAAUCAGUAAUAAUUAAAGACAUUUAUAAAUCACAUUAUUUUAUUUUUAUUCCACAAGAUUUAUUUUCUUAUCUUCAUUUCAACAAAUUCACCAAUUUUGUAAUUAUAAUCAAAAUGUUCACAUUUCUGUGAUACUGUCAGUAAUAAUUUAAAGAAUUUAAAAUCUAAGUGUAAUUUUAUUAAAAUGAAAAGACUUGGAAUAUAAUUCCAUAAAAAUAAAAUUAAAUGGAAAAAUAAAAAGUUAAAAAUGUUUAACUUUAUCCAAGUUAUAUUUCUUCUAAAAUAUUCAAAACUAUUUAGUAAAAUUAAAAUGCAGGCUCUGUUUCUGGUUGAGAUGGAAUAACAGGCGCUGGAUAAACUGCCCUAGCUGAAGCCAAAAAAAUACAUGAAAAACUGGUUUUGAAGACUGUGGGCAUCAGACAAGGAAAGACAAUGAUCCCUAAGAGAGAAGAACAGCUGAGGUGAGCCCUGCAACUGCCCCAGCUUCCUACCGAGUGACCGUUUCCAGGCUGUGCACACUGAGGAGGAUGCAGAGCUCAGCAGAUCACCUGAGCUGCGGGGGGUCGGGGAAAACAAGGUGGCUCAAGUCUCAUGUUACACUAGUGGAGAGAAGAGAGUUCUACAGACAGAGAACCCCAACCACCUGCAGAGGAUCCCACUCUUUUAUUCAGCUCAAAUGUGGGGACAGCACAUGAGGCCUAAGCAAGAACCAUCCAAAGGAUGAAAGGUGGUAGUAUGGUGUGGUGCUCACACAAAUCCGAGAAGAGUACCUUUGUCCAGAACCCAGACUGGAAAACCUCAUGGUUCGUGGGGCACUGGGCGAGGGGAAGAUACAUCACACAAGGAAACUUUGAAAGGUGAUCAAUAUGUUCUUGAUGAUGGGGAAGGUUUCACGAAUAUAUAUAUAAUAUAUAUCAAAAUUUUCAAAUUAUACACAUUAAAUAUGCACAGUUAAUAUAUAUCAAUUAUACCAUAUAUUUUGCUUUAAAACUUAAAAGACAAAUGCAAUCAUUAUCAAUCAAUAUGUGAAUUUUAAGUCAAGAUAUUUAAAUAAAGC
rnacentral:lncRNA from 1 species